GGUGCCUUAGAACGAAGUAGAUCUCGCUGAGGAGCCUGAUAGAUGGCUCAGUGGUUACACACGUGCUGCUCUUUCAAGACCUGAGUUCAGUUCCCAGUACCCACCUCCGCAGGAAAGCAACUCAAGAAUUCAAGUCCUGCCAGGCGGUGGUGUCGCACGCCUUUAAUCCCAGCACUCGGGAGGCAGAGCCAGGCGGAUCUCUGUGAGUUCGAGGCCAGCCUGGUCUAUAGAGCGAGAUCCAGGAAAGGCUCCAAAGCUACACAGAGAAACCAUGUCUCAAAAAAAAAAAAUUUCAAGUCCUAAUGAUACUCGGUUGAUGUCAUCAUCUUCAUGUAAGCAAAACACCACAUGUAGUUGAACAGUUAGAGGAAGGAAUCUUGAGCCAUGCUGUGAAGCACGUCAGGCCUAUCAGGGUCAUUUCCAAAUCAUGGUGCCUUUUACUUCUUGAGAAGAAUGACCUUCUAGAGCAAUGGUGCUCAACCUUCCUAAUGCUGUGACCCCUUAAUACCAUUGUGGUGAUUCCUCAACCCCAAAAUUAUUUUCAUUGCUACUUUGUAACACUAAUGUGCCACUGUUUGAGUUGUAAUGUAAGUAUCUGAUAUGUGACACCUGUGAAAGGGUCAUUUGACCCCUAGAGGGGUUGCGAUCCGUAGGUUGAGAACCACUGUUCUAGAGUAGCUUGAAGAAGUACUGUAUAGUGAAGCUUGGGCAAUGUUCUUCCCAAAAAUAUUUGUGUUGGUUUGACUAGAGAAGGAACAAAGAAUGAGAUGUUCUGUAGCCUUUAUAUCAAGGCAUCAAGACAGUUUAUGUGUGAUUAUUUUGUAAUGACUCCAUUAAAGGAGUGAGGCCCACUUUUGAUAUCCAAAAGCUGUAUAUUCUGGUAAUAACUGGGGCUGAUUUAGUGGCUCAACAGGUAAAGGCACUUGCCGAGGAAGCCUGGUGACCCGAUUCAAUCCCUGAAAGCUACACAAAGAUGGAGGAAGAGAAAUGAUUCUACAACAUUGUCCUCUGACCUCUGCAUAUACAUUAUGACACAUGUGCCCACAUGUACAUCAUGCAUGUGAAGACACACAAUACUAACAAAUAAAUAAUUUUUUUAACUAUUGCAUGGGUAAGUAUUGGAAUGAGUUUAUCAGAUUUGUUAAACACAUUAAACACAUCUUUAGGCUGGACAGUGGCGGUGGCACACACCUUUAAUCCCAGCACUCAGAAGGCAGGGGCAAGGCAGAUCUCUAUGAGCUCAAGUCCAGCCUGGUCUGCAGAGCAGUACAGCCAAGGGCUGUGCAGAGAAACUCUGUCUCAAAAAACCAAAAUAAUAAAAAAAAGAAAAAAAUUAUAUUUAAAAGAGGUAAUUAGAUCAUGCAAUGUCCUGCUUAAAACCCUUGAAGCAAUUUCACUUUCUUAGAAUAAAAUACAAUUUUCGUAUCCCGGUUCCUAAUGCAUUUAUGAUCUGGCCCCUGACUUCUUCUCCAGCACCAGCACUCAACACUCUAUUGCUUCCUUACUGUAUUCAGGCCACACCGACUUCCUCUGUAUUCCUAUAAUAAGCCAAUUCCUUUCUCAGCCCAAAGUAAUCCAAAGAGGAAAAAGAUAGUGUCUAAAUUGUACUGGAGCAAACUAAGAUGUGUAUAAAAUAAAUUAACCUCAUUUAUUCCUCACAUCAUACAUAAAAACUAACUUGAAAUAGACUGCAGACCUAAAUUUAAGAACUAAAACUAUAACACUCCUAGAAAAAAGCACUUCUAGAAGAAAAUAUUUCUAGAAGGAAAUCUUUGUGGAGCGAGGUAAGAAAAAGAUUUCUUUCAUUUUUAAUUAAAAUAUAUUUACAUCAUUUUCCCCAUUCCUCCCCCAACCCCUCCCAUAUACACCCCGCUUUGGCUCCCUUUUGAAGUAAUAUCCUCUAUUUCUUGAGUUGUUAUAGUUACAGAUGCCUAAAUAUAUAAAUACAAGCUGCUCAGUCCAUAUAGUGUUACUUGUAGUUACAUGAUUUUAGGACUUACCACUUAAUAUUGGAUAAUCAAUUUUAGAGGGCUCAUCCUUGGGGAGGACUAUUUUUCCCUCUCUCUCAUCUUUGGUUGCCUGUAGUUCUUUGACGAUUAAAUAAUGUUAAAGUGAUCAUUGGCAUUAAUCACUAUUUCUCAUCCCAAAUACAGAAAAAGAAAGCAGGUCGCCUCACAAAAGAAAAGCAAUAAACGGCAUAUGUCUAUAGAGGUGUACAGGGCCGGUCUCUCUUAUCCUGAGAUAGAGUAAGCCUGGAGGUCUGCUCAUUGAAGCUUCAAGUUCAGAAAUCUCAUCAGCAGAGAGCAGAGAAGCAAGCACCAGAGAGAGCUACUUAGGACACGCUGCGUUCUGAGAAGAAAAUGUCAAACUUGAGACCCUUCUUAUUCAUCUCUGUCUCUUAGAGUUGUUAACCUUUUUUUUUUCAAUAAUAAUAAUGAAAAACAUUGAUUAUCUGUGAUGUGACUUGGCAAGAAAACAGAUUGCCUGGGUUUUGUUUUGCUUUGUUUUAAGUGAAAACGUAUAGACUAACUAUGUUACUAAAUGAGAGCCCCACAGUCCCCAGAGGUUGAAUGAUAAAAUGAGGUCAUGGUAGAAAAAAACACCAAAAUGAUGGCUUCCCUCACCACCAAGCUCCUGUAGUUCUCUCAAAGUUUGAGUGUUUUCUCUUCCCAUACAGAUCAGGAUAGGUUGUCAUACUGUUUAAGUGUCAGACCAUCUCAUUAUUCAUUAACCCUCUCUCCACUCAUUCUUCCAACGGUUCAACAGCAAAACUUGAUCGUGCUAACUUCUUAAAUGCUUGUUUUUGAGACUUUGUCUUCCCUUGAAUUAGCUUAACUCCCUCCAAGUUAAGCAUCACUUUGCUCUCCCUGGAAGACUUGUGUAAGCUGGAAGGUGGCACCCACUUCUAUUUCUGUACUGUCUACCCCGCACUUCCCCUGCACCCAUCACAGAUUCACGGUCGUUGACACGCAUCUUCUGUUUACCAACCGUCAAUUCACAGCUUCCCAAAGGAACUGUUAUUUUCUAUGUUCUGUCCAAACAUCUGUAUCACUACCUGGAAGAAAAUAAUCCACAAGCGAGGAAGACAAACCUAGAAUUGUUUAGUAGCCUGGGACUCCACUUGGUUUGGGCUCUUGGUUUGGACACACACCCCUUAUCUAAUGUUCUAUGUGCACAAAUCCCAAUCCGAACAGUGCAUCUAACAACCUGCUAAACCACCUAAUACCCCCAGCUGCAUGGAGCUGCAUUAACUCCCCGCUCUGAACAAUGGAAUAAGUUUUUCCUCUCCUUAUCUUAGAUCAUCAAACUUGGAUCCAGUGAAUAGGAGUCAGGAGCGUAGGUGAGCCACAGAACUCCACUCGUCAAAUGCUAACACUAAAAGCAAGUGAUUUCACCUAAGAUGUUUAGCCUAAGGAAAGUAGCCCCUGAUGGAUACAAGGAAGGGACAUCAGCCAGUUCUGCACUGAAUUUGAGAAACAGAUUAUGUCAUCCUGCUCAAAAAAUAGAACUUUUAAAAAGAAGAUUCAAAUCUCAGUGACUUGGGGAAAAUGCAAAGACAUUUUCACUUGUAUAACUGACAUGUGUCCCAAGAGUUCAUUGUUCCCUUCAUCAUGGUCAUGCAAGGACAGCAAUGCACCAUCUCUAAAAAUUGCUGGGUUUGCUGGGGGGGUGGGUCUCAGGGAAAUGCUGGGCAGUCUUAGAUGGGCUAGAAUGGGCUCAGAAGUGAUUCUUCACUUCAAAAAAAGUAUUUAUCUACCUACUUAUCUGUGUGUGUAUAUAUAUAUAUGUAUAUAUAUGUACCUAUCUAUCUGUCAUCUACCUAUCUAUCGUGUGUGUGUGUGUGUGUGUGUGUGUGUGUGUGUGUGUGUGUGUAUGUAUGUAUGUGUGAUGUCCCACAGUGAGCAAUUGGGGAUCAGAGGACAACUAGUAAGAAUUCCUUCCGCCACGUGGGCCCUCAAAUUUGGUGGUAAAGCAGUGGCGUCUUCACCUACUGGGCCACCUCACUGGCCCUGGUUCUUCAAUUUUGCCUGCUAUUCAUGAACCCAAACUAGUCAGGUGACCUCACUCAAGUAAAGGGGGCUUAGAAAUUCAGUGUUGGCAUGUGUCCAGAGUGCAAUUAUUGUAACAGAAAUAUAACCACCAUGUGUCUCUGCCUUACUGUACAUCCCUCCAUGUGUCUCACACGUACCUGCUAUACUUUGCACACUUAAAAAAAAUAAACAUAUGACAAGACA